AUCGCGGAUCAGCAUGCCGCGGUGAAUACGUUCUCGGGCCUUGUACACACCGCCCGUCACACCAUGGGAGUCGGUAACACCCGAAGUCUGUAGCCUGACGCAAGAGGGCGCAGCCGAAGGUGGGAUUGAUGACUGGGGUGAAGUCGUAACAAGGUAUC
rnacentral:rRNA from 1 species